ensembl:lncRNA
CACAAACACACGUAUGUAAUUAGGCAUAUAAAUUACACCAAAAAACAGAAAUAAUGAAUGGAAGGUUUGAUUACAGGGAAUGGAAUCCUCUUUAUCUCCGUAGCAGAAGAUGGUGAUGCAGUACCGUAUGCAGCAGUACCAGUGACAGAGCACGUACGUGUUUGAAGUUAAACACAUAAACCCCUCUACAGGUUGUCCUGCGGCUUCUUGAUGCCCACAUGGCAAAGCAAGGCAAUGAUGCUACUGAUGUGAUGCUUCCAGAACAACAUUUAUUCAGGCUGACCAAAGUAAAGAGAGCACCUGAGGGACAGAGAGAGAGAGAGGAGAGCGAGAGAGAGAGAGAGAGAGAGAGAGAGAGAGACAUUAUACUGGUUCACAAACUUUCAAGCAAGUAUGUGUAUUUACACCAAUCAGCCAUAACGUCAAAACCACUGGCAGGUGCUGUGAGUAACCUGUCGAGGGGAGGGAUUUAUAGAUUUAUUAGUCAGCAGGUGAACAGUCAGUUCUGGAAGUCGAGGAGUUGGAAGCAGGAAAAAUGGACAAGUGUAAGGAUCUGAGAGACUCUGACGAGGGCCAGAUUGUGACGUCUAGACGACUGGAUCGGAGCUUCUCCAAAACAGCAGGUGUUGUGGGGUGUUCCCGGUCUACAGGGG